CAGGAUGAACGCUAGCGACAGGCUUAACACAUGCAGGUCGAGGGGCAGCGCGGAGGUGGCAACACUCUGGCGGCGACCGGCGCACUGGUGAGUAACACGUAUGCGACCUGCCCCGGACAGGGGGAUAAACCCGGGAAACUGGGCCUAAUACCCCAUAUGCCGAGGGGAUGCAUGUCCCCGCGGUGAAAGAUCCGUCGGUCCGGGAUGGGCAUGCGGCGCAUUAGCUUGUUGGCGGGGCAACGGCCCACCAAGGCGACGAUGCGUAGGGGUUCUGAGAGGAAGGUCCCCCACACUGGUACUGAGACACGGACCAGACUCCUACGGGAGGCAGCAGUGAGGAAUAUUGGGCAAUGGGCGAAAGCCUGACCCAGCAACGCCGCGUGAGUGAAAAAGGCCUUCGGGUUGUAAAGCUCUGUUAUAGGGGACGAAGGAAGUGACGGUACCCUAUAAGGAAGCCCCGGCUAACUACGUGCCAGCCGCCGC
rnacentral:rRNA from 1 species